AAUCCACAUGUCCGAACAGAGCCGGUCGGCCCGAUGCGCUCUAAAGCCCCUCUAAAUUCUCAAAGCCAACACCGUGCCCAAUCAACAAACGAGCAGAAAAAUGUCCUUCUCCUUCUCUAUCUCCGAACCUCUUGCCUUCCCUCAACAACCCCUAUUCUCUAGUCUUGGUGGGAACAAAAGGGCAAGUGGGAUAUGGAGAAACCAUCAAGUAGUGAAUAAAUUAGUGGUAAGAGCAGGUCCAAAGAAGAUAUCUUUUGGUAAAGAUUGUAGAGAAGCCUUGCAGGCAGGAAUUGAUAAGCUUGCUGAUGCUGUUUCUCUCACUUUAGGGCCUCAAGGUCGUAAUGUUGUUCUUUCGGAUUCAAAGACGCUAAAAGUAGUAAAUGAUGGUGUUACAAUAGCUCGUGCAAUAGAGCUUCCGGAUUCAAUGGAGAAUAUUGGAGCAAUUUUAAUCCAAGAGGUUGCUAGUAAAAUGAAUGAUAUGGCUGGAGAUGGCACUACUACUGCUAUUAUUUUGGCUCGUGAAAUGAUCAAAACAGGGAUGUUGGCAGUCACUUUUGGGGCUAACCCUGUUUUUGUAAAGAAAGGAAUGGAUAUGGCUGUCAAAGAGUUGGUCAAAGUGUUGAAGAAGAAUAGUUUUCCAGUAAAAGGGAAGGAUGAUAUAAAAGCGGUCGCUUCAAUUUCUGCUGGAAAUGAUGAAUUUGUUGGGAACCUAAUUGCUGAAACUAUAGAGAAGAUUGGCUCUGAUGGAGUUAUCUCUCUUGAAUCAUCUUCAACCUCUGAUACAUUUGUGAUAAUAGAAGAAGGAAUGAAGUUUGACAAGGGUUAUAUGUCACCCCAAUUCAUCACAAACCAGGAAAAAUCUUUGGUGGAGUUUGACAAGGCCAAAGUCCUUGUAACGGAUCAGAAGAUUGCAAAUGUCCAAGAAAUAGUUCCUGUGUUGGAGAAGACUACCCAACUCAGUGUCCCAUUGUUAAUCAUUGCUGAGGAUAUCUCAAAGCCAGUUUUGGAAACACUAGUGUUGAACAAAAUGAAAGGUUUGCUCAAUGUUGCUGUUGUCAAAUGCCCUGGAUUUGGAGAUCGAAAGAAAGCAUUGUUGCAAGACAUUGCUCUUAUGACAGGUGCUGAUUUUCUCUCUGGUGAUUUUGGGCUGACACUCGGAAGUGUAACCUCGGAUCAACUUGGCAUUGCACGAAAAGUUACCAUAACAAGUAAUUCAACAACCAUAGUUGCUGACUCAGCUACCAAAGCUGAAAUUCAGGCAAGAAUUCUUCAGAUAAAAAAGGACCUCGCUGAAACAGAUAAUGCUGCUCUUUCAAGAAAGCUCUCAGAGAGAAUUGCUAAAUUAUCUGGUGGUGUGGCUGUAAUCAAGGUAGGAGCACACACGGAGACAGAACUUGAAGAUAGGAAACUCAGAAUUGAAGAUGCAAAGAAUGCUACAUUUGCUGCCAUGGAUGAAGGGAUAGUACCUGGUGGUGGUGCAACAUAUGUACAUCUCUCGGAGCAGAUCUCCUCAAUAAAAAAUUCCAUGAAAGAUGAAAAUGAGAAGAUUGGUGCUGAUAUUGUUGCAAAGGCACUUCUUGCACCUGCAAAAACAAUUGCAACUAAUGCAGGGGUUGAUGGAGCAGUUGUGGUGGAGAAUAUUCGAUCUUGUGACUGGAGAACCGGUUACAAUGCAAUGACUGGUAGAUAUGAAGAUCUUCUCAAUGCAGGGGUGGUAGAUCCUUGUAGAGUUUCUAGGUGUGCACUUCAAAGUGCUGUCUCAAUUGCUGGGAUAGUUCUAACAACUCAAGCUGUGCUGGUUGAAAAAAUAAAGAAGCCCAAGCCCGCUGUCCCUUAUGUUCCUGGAAUUACACCUUGAGAAAAAUGGAAAAGAGCUGUUAAAAUUGUAGAAAGAAGCUGAAGAAAUUUUAUUGCUCUGAUGACUCUCAUCAACAGUUUUGAGUUGGCUGGUCAGAAUGAAACUUGAAGGUGAAGCAAGUCUCUUCAACAAGCCUUUACAACUUCUGGGAUCACCAGGUGGAUCAUGCUUGAGACCACAAAAGCAUCAAAUGCCAUAAUGAAAGACUUUGCAUUUGUCUGGAAAUGCUUGGUUCUCCCUGCUGAAACAUCGACGACUUCUCCCCUAAAUUUUGUGUUUGGUCUCUGUUAUAUUUGAUUUUCUGGCUGGUUUCCUGUCAAGAAACUCACUACUAUUCCAGUAACUCAGCAAGUAGCCAUAUAGGAAGAGUAAUCCCCAUAUCCAGAUGCCCUCUUUAAAAUCUUCAACUGAAGUUAGUCACUGACACAAUUCAAGCAGAAAAUCACCUUUAUUUUAUCAAUUAUAUUUUCCCUUGACUGCUAUAUGAUUCAUCUGUCAAUUUUAUUUGAACGAGGUUUUGGUCUUUUGCCAUGAAAUUUAAUUGAUUUUUGUAUGCUAUUG